CUGCUCAUAUUAACUCAGAUCACUUGGUUCAAGUGGUAUUUUUCAGGUUUCUCCAUUGUAAAGUUACUGGUUUUCCCUUUGUAAGUAAUAUGCAUUUUGUGGGAGAUACUUUGAGACUAUGUGUGUUUAUAAUUUAAUGCUAUAUAACAAACUACCCCCAAAGUUAGUGGCUUUAAAAUAAUAAUGACUUAGUAUCUCAUAGUUUCUUUGGGUCAGGAAUUUGGGAGCAGCUCUGUGGGAUGGUUUGGCUCGGGGUCACGCAAGUUGAGGUGCAGUCAAGAUGUCCAUGAGGGCUGCAGUCAUCUGAAGGUUUGACUGGGGCUGGAUAAUCUCCUGCCGAGACAUCUCCCUUCCAGACUGUUGGUGAGAGGUCUCAACUAUUCACUGAAUUCAGGCAGGAGCCUCAGUUCCUCACCAUGUGGACUUCUCCAUGGGGCUCCUACAGUAUUCUCAUGACAUAGCACCUAACUUCCACCAAAUCACGUAAGGUGGAAGCUACAAAAUCUCUAUGACUUAUCUUGACACUGUCAUUCCUGCACUGUUUUAUUGGUCAGCCCUCAAUGUGGGAGGGGACUAUGCAGCAGCAUGAGUACCAGGACUCGGGGAUCAUUGGGGGCCAUCUCCACGGCUCUUGGUUCCUCUGGGCUCUUGGCACCACCUUCUCAGUCAUCCUUCCUUUACCGUGAAAGAUAGCUGAUGUUGGCUGCAGAAUUGUGUUCUCAAUCUGUGUGUCAGUCAGGGUCCAAUCAGAAGACAAAACCACACAGUAAUUUGUACAGAGAAAGUUUAGGAUAAAGAAUUAUGAACAAGGGUGCUGGGGAACUGGCUAAUAAGAGGACUCUAAAGAAUAGAGGAAUGGCUGAUAUAGGCAGCUCUCACCACACCUGGGACUGGGAGAGAGCCCCUCCCGGAGCUAAACUCCAGACCCCAUUGGAGAGGGUGUGGGCAUGACUCACUGGAUUACAGAGAAGUUUCCUGAGGUGCCUCCCCAGCUGAACUUGCUUGAAAUCCACUGUCUGCUGUGGGAAGCUGUCCAAAGGGAGGGAGGUACCCCACCUCAGAACCCUACAGGCUACCUCAAGACGUGCUACAGAAGCCCUGUGAGAGGAGGAGCCUGGCUGGCAGCUCUCUUGUGUGAAACUGCUUGAGGGAAGGUGAUUGAUGGGCACCCCAUUGUUGGCACGCCACUGUGAAGCCACCGAGGGGGUGUGUCCAGGGAAAUCCACUCAUGGCUGCCUCACCCUCUGGCACUCUGCCAUGAACCACCCUGGGCAGUGGGUGUGCCAUGGAAGCAUUUGUGGGAAACUCACUGCAAGCUGCUGGGGUACCUGGGAAGCCAUCCAAGGAGAAACGUCUAGCCAGCAGCACUCAUUAAUACCAAAUGAACCAAAUUAUCAAUAUGGGGUCAAGUGUUUAUUUAAUUUUAUAAAGAAGGAAGAUAAAGAUUCUUAGUUUCAACAUAACCACCUACUCAUUUGCCAAAUUCCCAAAGUCCUGGUUGCACUCUAGCGUAGACUUAAAGAUAGCCCCAGGGUAUUGAUGGGCACACUUCAAGUGUGCAAUUCAUCAGUUUUGAUGUCUGCUUGCACCUGUGUAACCACCACCACUGUCAGGAGAACAAUCGCGUCUCCUCCAAAACCCCAUUGCCAUUUGUGAUCCGUCAUCCCUUCCGUCUCAUUCCUAGGCAACCACUGAUCUGCCCGGAGUCUUUUUAAUUGGUUAAAACAAUCUGAAAAUUUAUAUAGAAGAAUCAGUGCCUGAAAGAAUAGCCAAGAAAGGCAUGAUGAAGAAGACCGACAAGAGGCUCUUGUUUUCUCAGAUGUCAGAACAUUCUAGAAAGUCAGUGCAAUCACAGUGGUAUGGUAUUGGUCUAGGAAUAGGCAAUUAAAUCAGAGGAAGAACGGACAAGCCAGGAAUCCAACCCACUAUCUGCAAAGGGAAUUUAAGUCAUGACAAAGGCGGCAGUUCUGUUUGGUGGCAAAGGUUUCCUGACAUGGCAGACACUGUGUGUUCUCAGUCUAAUGGGAGCUCACACACAUCAAUAAUUUAAUGUAAUAUGGGCGCAAUUCAAGGUUUUGCAGGUUCAGUGGGUAACAGAGGGUGUAACACUUGAGAAGGAUUUUGAAUGAUAAGUGCGUUUGUUUGAGGAACAAGGAAGUCCCGUUUUGGCCUCCUGACCUCCAGAACUGUAAGGUGAUACACUGGUGUCGAGUUAAGCCACUAGAGUUGUGGUAGUUUGUUCCAGCAGCCACAGGAAACCAACUCAAGCAGCGACUAGAUCAGAUUGGUGGAACAUCAAGUGGUUUCUACCACGUUCCCCUUGACCUUCCCUUCUACAGCCUGGCCUGAUUCGGGGGUCACGAGGCAGGAGAACCAUGGGCAAGAGGGAGCUCGGAGUGGGAGGUAAAGAUGUUGAAAUUCCUGGGGCUGCCCUGUGGCCAAGUGGUUAAGUUCGCGCGCUGCUUUGGCGCCCAGGGUUUGCCAGUUUGGAUCCUGGGCGCAGACAUGGCACCGCUCAU